rnacentral:rRNA from 1 species
CGGGCGAGUGGCGGACGGGUGAGGAAUACAUCGGAAUCUACUCUUUCGUGGGGGAUAACGUAGGGAAACUUACGCUAAUACCGCAUACGACCUACGGGUGAAAGCGGAGGACCUUCGGGCUUCGCGCGAUUGAAUGAGCCGAUGUCGGAUUAGCUAGUUGGCGGGGUAAAGGCCCACCAAGGCGACGAUCCGUAGCUGGUCUGAGAGGAUGAUCAGCCACACUGGAACUGAGACACGGUCCAG